GUGUCAGCAGCCGCGGUAAUACCGGCAGUCCGAGUGAUGGCCGAUCUUAUUGGGCCUAAAGCGUCCGUAGCUGGCUGAACAAGUCCGUUGGGAAAUCCACCUGCCCAACAGGUGGGCGCCCGGUAGAAACUGCGUGGCUUGGGACCGGAAGGCGCGACGGGUACGUCCGGGGUAGGAGUGAAAUCCUGUAAUCCUGGACGGACCGCCGAUGGCGAAAGCACGUCGCGAGGACGGAUCCGACAGUGAGGGACGAAAGCCAGGGUCUCGAACCGGAUUAGAAACCCCCGUAGUCC
rnacentral:rRNA from 1 species